rnacentral:lncRNA from 1 species
GGUUGUUUGCUCUCGGUACAGAUGCCAUCAUUACUAACUACUUUCAGGCUCUUUGAGAGCUAAAUAAUUCUGUAAUGCAUCAUUGAACAUUUAGUUGCUUCAUAGCAGAUGGUUUCAGGGGUCCAUCUGCUCACAGCAAUGUUUUCAACAAGCCCCCUUCACCUUCACCAAAAGGUUCGGAAGCAUUAGAAUAUUCAUUCUCCACUACAGAAGGAACAAAUGGAUUCAGCUUAAGAGAUUAAAGAAAAUUGUUGGAGCUUUCCGAGUCAAAUUUCAGAGAACCGUUUGAAGGCAAUUUAAUUAUCUAUCCUCAUUUUUAAGAAUACAAAAUAUUAGAGAAAAUAAAUACGUUUGUCUUACU